GCAAACUGUGGAAAAGGGGAAGCAGAUACCUCAAAUGGUACGAAUCCAAAAUGGUGGGCGCCUUCCGGGCCUCUAGUUGUGUGUGGCGAGGGACCGAGAUCUCUUCCCCGUCGCUGGCCUAUUUUAGGAGGGAGAAAACAGGAAGAAGUUUCUUAAAAUCAAAGAAGCGAUGGCAAGUCUUAACUUGAAGAAGUUUGGGAAUCACUGGUUUUCAAGUUAGAACUGAAUGAAAGAACAACUGUCGACAACCGCAGUUGCCCGUUGCAUGGCAACGGCAGC